rnacentral:rRNA from 1 species
AUUGAACGCUGGCGGCAUGCCUUACACAUGCAAGUCGAACGGUAACAGGUUAAGCUGACGAGUGGCGAACGGGUGAGUAAUAUAUCGGAACGUGCCCAGUCGUGGGGGAUAACGCAGCGAAAGCUGAGCUAAUACCGCAUACGAUCUACGGAUGAAAGCGGGGGAUCGCAAGACCUCGCGCGAUUGGAGCGGCCGAUAUCAGAUUAGCUAGUUGGUGAGGUAAAGGCUUACCAAGGCUACGAUCUGUAGCUGGUCUGAGAGGACGACCAGCCACACUGGAACUGAGACACGGUCCAGACUCCUACGGGAGGCAGCAGUGGGGAAUUUUGGACAAUGGGCGCAAGCCUGAUCCAGCAAUGCCGCGUGCAGGAUGAAGGCCUUCGGGUUGUAAACUGCUUUUGUACGGAGCGAAACGGCUUACUCUAAUACAGUGAGCUAAUGACGGUACCGUAAGAAUAAGCACCGGCUAACUACGUGCCAGCAGCCGCCGUAA